CGGCUUACCAAGGCGAUGAUGCAUAGCCGAGUUGAGAGACUGAUCGGCCACAUUGGGACUGAGACACGGCCCAAACUCCUACGGGAGGCAGCAGUAGGGAAUCUUCCACAAUGGACGCAAGUCUGAUGGAGCAACGCCGCGUGAGUGAAGUAAGGUUUUCGGAUACGUAAAGCUCUGUUGUUGGUGAAAGAAGGAUAGGAGGUAGUAACUGGCCUUUAUUUGACGGUAAUCAACCAGAAAGUCACGGGCUAACUACGUGCCAGCAGCCGCGGUAAAU
rnacentral:rRNA from 1 species